rnacentral:rRNA from 1 species
UACGUAGGGUGCGAGCGUUAAUCGGAAUUACUGGGCGUAAAGCGUGCGUAGGCGGUCCGCAAAGUCUGAUGUGAAAGCCCCGGGCUCAACCUGGGAACUGCAUUGGAAACUAACGGGCUCGAGUGUGGCAGAGGGGGGUGGAAUUCCACGUGUAGCAAUGAAAUGCGUAGAGAUGUGGAGGAACACCGAUGGCGAAGGCAGCCCCCUGGGCUAACACUGACGCUCAGGCACGAAAGCGUGGGGAGCAAACAGG